rnacentral:rRNA from 1 species
CGCUGGCGGCAGGCCUAACACAUGCAAGUCGAGGGGUAGAGAGGUGCUUGCACCUCUUGAGAGCGGCGGACGGGUGAGUAAUGCCUAGGAAUCUGCCUGGUAGUGGGGGAUAACGCUCGGAAACGGACGCUAAUACCGCAUACGUCCUACGGGAGAAAGCAGGGGACCUUCGGGCCUUGCGCUAUCAGAUGAGCCUAGGUCGGAUUAGCUAGUUGGUGGGGUAAUGGCUCACCAAGGCGACGAUCCGUAACUGGUCUGAGAGGAUGAUCAGUCACACUGGAACUGAGACACGGUCCAGACUCCUACGGGAGGCAGCAGUGGGGAAUAUUGGACAAUGGGCGAAAGCCUGAUCCAGCCAUGCCGCGUGUGUGAAGAAGGUCUUCGGAUUGUAAAGCACUUUAAGUUGGGAGGAAGGGCAUUAACCUAAUACGUUAGUGUUUUGACGUUACCGACAGAAUAAGCACCGGCU